rnacentral:misc_RNA from 1 species
UGGUUCUGGCAUNGAUGAAGAACGCAGCGAAAUGCGAUAAGUAAUGUGAAUUGCAGAAUUUAGUGAAUCAUCGAAUCUUUGAACGCACAUUGCGCCCCUUGGUAUUCCGAUGGGCAUGCACGUUCGAGCGUCAUCAAACACCCUCAAGCCCUGGGCUUGGUGUUGGGCCUGCCGGUAGAACGGCUCGCCCCAAAACCAGUGGCGGCGCCAUAUGGCUCUCAGCGCAGUAAUGUUCCUCGCUGUUGCGCCUGGUGGUCCGCUGGCCAGCAACCCCAUACACCUAAGUUUGACCUCGGAUCGUGUAGGAGUACCCGCUGA